rfam:Oryza meridionalis cultivar OR44 (W2112) chromosome 4, whole genome shotgun sequence.
AAUAAGUAUAGUUCUACACUGUUCACGUUUAAAAUUUAACCAUUCGUUUUAUUUAAAACUUUUUAUGAUGAGUAUUUAUUGUUAUUAAAUAAUAAAAUAUAAAUAGUACUUUAUAUGUGACUAUUUUUUUUUAAUUUUUUCAUAAACAUUUUAAAUAGACGGACAGUCAAACGUUGAACAUGGAUACCUACGGCUGCACUUAUU